CAAAUCUUAAACAGUUUACCCCAAAGUAUUUUCAUUACCCAAGGGUAAAUCAUUUUUUCAUCCUGUUUUUAAACCAUUCUUCAUUUAUAGGAACUGUUCUUUUAAUAUCCCACUCAACUAUUAUUAUUUAUUUGUUUUCUGCAUGUUUGCAUGUUUACGGAAGAAUUAUUCAGCUUGUUUUGCACUGGAAAUACGUCAAAAGAAUCUGAAUCAGAUGACUGGUUAUGUAGGUUCAGGCCGAGAGGUCAUGUGCUCGUUCUGUUUCUGCGCAUCUGAAAGCUGAUUGCGUAAUUGGAGUAACACGUUCAGUGGAAUUUUGGAGCAGCUUGUGUGACUCGAAUCCUGAUGAGUGAUUUAUAUAAGAGAGAAGAGGGAUGAAUUCAGGUCGAGGAGCGCGAGACGGAGGCAGACAGAGCUCUUGAGAUCUAACGAGACACCCUGAAGUGUCGCAUACGGAGAGCUUUUGAUAGUCUUGGUGAGGAAGGCUGGAUUAACCCUAGACCUGGUCCCACUGGAUUAUGACGGUCCUGCUCCGAGACGCUCUAUUCCUGACUGGGCCAAAAAUAAAACGCAAUAACUGGCUUCUUACAUGCCGCAAUGUUUUGGUGACGUCAGCGUAACUCUUUGCUUAGAGAGAAUUGUUUGUGAAGGUGGUCCGAACCGAACGGCACUGUAUCGCCACCCAUCGGUCAUCAGAACGCUCUUGGCACUAUCCGUGAUCUGAACUCUCCUACGUACCUCGAUAUCUCCUGAGUGCUCAUGUGAUUCUUCGACCAUUGAGCUCCCACUGCAAAGAGAAGAGACAAGUAUUGAUAUUCACGUAUUGUGUGGCUUUGACGUCACGACACAUAACGGACUCCUCUGGCUUUCACAGAAGCGAAUUCACCUGGCUUCCACGGACACGAACUCCACAGAACCCGCACAAAGAUUACACUUACUUCCCUCUCACGAACCCUUGUUUAAAUAAAGGUGGGCAGAAGCACUCUGGUUCCAAGAAAGCGCAGUCACUUCAUCAUUCCAGAAUUUUAUUCCUCCGUAAGCGAAUGAUUACUACAUUUACGUCAAGGAAAGAAAUCUGUGUCGGAAUACUCGCUCGAAUGUGGAACCCUGGCCGCAGCGAAUGGAUGGAACGAGAAGGCCUUACUCAUGGUGUACCGGGAAGGGCUAAAUCCUACGCUACGGUUACAGUUCGCCAUAUACCACGGGGGUAGGAGCCAUCUUAUCCCAUCAACCUCAGCAAGCUCAGAAACCAAUGCCCUGUGCAUUCUUUUCUAGAAAAUUAUCCUCUGCGGAAAGGAACUAUGAUAUCGGCAACUGGGAAUUACUAGCAGUGAAGCUGGCCCUUGAGGAAUGGAGGCACUGGUUAGAGGGAGCCCGGCUGCCUUUCCUUGUACUCACGGAUCACAAGAACCUACAGUAUCUCAAAGAAGCUAAAAGACUUAACCCUCGCCAGGCCAAGUGGGCACUAUUUUUAACACGUUUCCAUUUCCUCAUAUACUACCAUCAGGGAUCCAAGAAUCCUGGUAGACUUAGAUAGAUUCUACAAGGUCUGCAAGCUCAUUCCAUUAAAAAUCCUCCCCACAGCUUUUGAAACUGCCCAAUUAUUAUUCAACCAUGUAUUCCGUAACUUUGGUGUUCCCGAGGACAUUGUUUCCGAUAGGGAACCUCAGCUUAUCUCAAGGGUCUGGAAGUCUUUCCUUGCCAUGCUCAACAUCACUGUCAGCCUAACAUCUGGAUACCAUCCUCAAGCCAAUGGACAAACUGAAAGAAAAAUCCAGGACAUCAGCUGUUUCCUUAGGACCUUCUUUCACAGGAACAAGACCUUAUGGAGCAGGUAUUUAGUUUGGGCCGAAUAUGCUCAAAACUCCCUCAGACAAACAUCAACCAAUCUCACCCCAUUCCAAUGUAUUCCCCUGGUCAGGAGAACCUUAGAACGUUCUGGCCAUAAAUUACUUAUUCCGCGACUGCGAGCGGGUGUGGAACCAAGCCCACCAUCACCUUCAACAAGCGGUCAAUCGCCAGCAAGGUUUUGCAGACACCCACCAUAAGGAGAACCCUCUCUACCAACCCGGCCAGUUAGUAUGGCUCUCCACCCGAGACAUAAGAUAACAACAGCCAUGCCAAAAACUAAGCCCAAAAUACAUCGGAUCAUUCCCCAUAGAGCAGCAAAUCAACCCGGUCACCUAUUGACUCCAGCUUCCUGCCCAGUACCGCAUCCACCCUACCUUUCACGUCUCCUUGAGAAACCCAGCUCCACGACCUCAAGGCAGACCCCCACGAUGCCGGAGAUUAAGGCCCACUGGCACGGACCCUGGACGGGGGGGUAGUGUCAGGGAUCAGGCAGACCCAGUCCCAGCCAAUCACCAGUGCUCACACUCUCCCGAAUUCUAAUCACCAGCACCUGAUCUCCAUUACCCCUGCACUAUGAGAAACCUCCGGAAACCCCAGUUCACUGUCAAGCCUCCAACAGGAAUUGACCUCAUGAUCUUGUCUCCUACUCUCCUUGUCUUCACAGAAACACCAGCAGUAACGUAUACUUACAUUUGAGAAGUUAACCUGUGUGUCUUUGUUCUCCUGUCUCCAGAACGCUCUUGACACUAUCCGUGAUCUGAACUCUCCUACGUACCUCGAUAUCUCCUGAGUGCCCAUGUGAUUCUUCGACCAUUGAUCUCUCACUGCACAGAGAAGAGACACAUAUUGAUAUUCACGUAUUGUGUGGCUUUGCCGUCUUGACACGUAACGAACUCACCUGGCUUUCACAGAAGCGAAUUUACCUGGCUUCUAUGGACAGAAACUCCACAGAACCCGCACCAAGAUUACACUUACUUCCCUCUCACGAACCCUUGUUUAAAUAAAGACUGUGUUGAAUUC